GAUGAACGCUGGCGGCGCGCCUAACACAUGCAAGUCGAACGAUUAAAGCACCUUCGGGUGUGUAUAAAGUGGCGAACGGCUGAGUAACACGUGGGCAACCUGCCCCUUUCAUUGGGAUAGCCACGGGAAACCGUGGAUAAUACCGAAUACUUCGAGACUUCCGCAUGGAAGACUCGAGAAAGCUCCGGCGGAGAGGGAUGGGCCCGCGGCCUGUUAGCUUGUUGGUGGGGUAACGGCCUACCAAGGCAAUGAUGGGUAGCUGGGUUGAGAGACCGACCAGCCAGAUUGGGACUGAGACACGGCCCAGACUCCUACGGGAGGCAGCAGUGGGGAAUCUUGCACAAUGGGCGAAAGCCUGAUGCAGCGACGCCGCGUGCGGGAUGAAGGCCUUCGGGUCGUAAACCGCUUUCAGCAGGGACGAGGCGAAAGUGACGGUACCUGCAGAAGAAGCCCCGGCUAACUACGUG
rnacentral:rRNA from 1 species